AAAAUAAAAAUAAUAUUAGCGUAUUAGCGAAGUGUUUUUAUUGCAAUCGAUUAUUCGAUAUCGGUGGGCGCAAUGUUAAUCGUAACGGAUUGCCAUUACUACCAAAAUUUUGUGUCAUAUUAAGCCACGAACAGCAACAGGCACAUACGUCGAAGCUGGCAAUGCAGAAACUUUGAUUCCCAAGGCAAAUCAAUUGAAAAAAAAACGAUUUCUUAAAACCAAAUCAAAAACGUAUAACAAUAACAACGAUCAAAUUAUUAAAUUUUAAAAAUAAAUAAAAUAUCUACCGAUAAUAAAAAAAAAUUAAUUUAACAACAAAAAAGUAUUUUUUCUUGUGAAGUUUUAUAAAAUUCAGCAUUUUCGUAUUAAAAAUCACCAACCCCAUCUCAUACCCCUUUUCGGCACAAAGGUAAUGCAGCACUUCGCCAUAUGACCACCACCUAAGAUAUGCCGCCGCACAAAUAGGAUAGAACAAUGAUCAAAAACUGGGAACAUGGCAAGCUCAAAACAAUGCUUAAAGCUGGAACAUUCACAACAAUGAAUGAAGCCAUUGGUGGCUGAUAGAGCAAGCUCCAUUACUGUGGACUGCAGUGCGUGG